rnacentral:rRNA from 1 species
UACGGAGGGUGCAAGCGUUAAUCGGAAUUACUGGGCGUAAAGGGCACGUAGGCGGUUAAUUAAGUUGGGUGUGAAAUCCCCGGGCUCAACCUGGGAACAGCACUCAAGACUGGUAAGCUAGAGUCUUGUAGAGGGGGGUAGAAUUCCACGUGUAGCGGUGAAAUGCGGAGAGAUGUGGAGGAAUAGCUGUGGCGAAGGCGGCCCCCUGGACAAAGUCUGACGCUGGGGUGCGAAAGCGUGGGGAGCAAA